rnacentral:ncRNA from 1 species
GUUUCAGGGCGAGGUGAAAUUCCUCACUGGCGGUAAUCGGGCGGCAAUACCGUCUCGUAAGUCCGCGACCCGGGCAAGCGCAUUGCCUGGCUGAUCCGGUGAAAAUCCGGAACCAACGGUUACAGUCCGGAUGGAAGAGA